CCUACGGGCGGCAGCAGUGAGGAAUAUUGGUCAAUGGGCGGAAGCCUGAACCAGCCAAGUCGCGUGAGGGAUUAAGGCCCUGCGGGUCGUAAACCUCUUUUGCCGGGGAGCAGAGGUCCGGACGUGUCCGGGCCGGGAGAGUACCCGGAGAAAAAGCAUCGGCUAACUACGUGCCAGCAGCCGCGGUAAUACGGAGGAUGCGAGCGUUAUCCGGAUUUAUUGGGUUUAAAGGGUGCGUAGGCGGGCAUUUAAGCCGGCGGUCAAAUGUCGGGGCUCAACCCCGGCCUGCCGUCGGAACUGGGUGCCUUGAGUGGGCGAGAAGUAGGCGGAAUGCGUGGGGUAGCGGUGAAAUGCAUAGAUAUCACGCAGAACCCCGAUUGCGAAGGCAGCAUACCGGCGCCCUACUGACGCUGAGGCACGAAAGUGCGGGUAUCGAACAGGAUUAGAUACCCCAGUAGUC
rnacentral:rRNA from 1 species